rnacentral:rRNA from 1 species
AUUGAACGCUGGCGGCAGGCCUAACACAUGCAAGUCGAGCGGAUGAAGGGAGCUUGCUCCUGGAUUCAGCGGCGGACGGGUGAGUAAUGCCUAGGAAUCUGCCCGCUAGUGGGGGAUAAAGUCCGGAAACGGGCGCUAAUAACGCAUACGCCCUGAGGGUGAAAGUGGGGGAUCUUCGGACCUAACGCUACCAGAUGAGCCUAGGUCGGAUUAGCUAGUUGGUGGGGUAAAGGUCUACCAAGGCGACGAUCCGUAACUGGUCUGAGAGGAUGAUCAGUCACACUGGAACUGAGACACGGUCCAGACUCCUACGGGAGGCAGCAGUGGGGAAUAUUGGCCUAUGGGCGAAAGCCUGAUCCAGCCAUGGCGCGUGUGUGAAGAAGGUCUUCGGAUUGUAAAGCACUUUAAGUAGGGAGGAAGGGCAGUAGAUUAAUGCGUUGCUAGUUUGACGUUACCAACAGAAUAAGCACCGGCUAACUUCGUG